CUAGUUCGUUAAAGGCCGUAGGUAUAGGGUUUGUAGUAAAGUACGCAGACCUUGCUGAGAGCUGAUAGUACCUUGAGCCUUCGGGUAAGGGGAUAGUUCAGGUAAUCAGACUUCCAAGAAAACCCGCAAAGCUUCAGGUUAUGAAUUCCCGUACCGUAAACCGACACAGGUAGUCGAGGAGAGAAUCCUAAGGUGCUCGAGUGAAUCAUGGCUAAGGAACUCGGCAAAAUGGCCCUGUAACUUCGGGAGAAGAGGCGCUGACAGCAAUGUCAGCCGCAGUGAAAAGGCCCAGGCGACUGUUUAACAAAAACACAUGGCUAUGCAAAAUCGAAAGAUGACGUAUAUGGCCUGACACCUGCCCGGUGCCGGAAGGUUAAGAGGGGAUGUUAGGGUUAAACCGAAGCAUUGAAUCGAAGCCCCGGUAAACGGCGGCCGUAACAAUAACGGUCCUAAGGUAGCGAAACUCCUUGUCGGGUAAGUUCCGACCUGCACGAAUGGUGUAACGAUCUGGGCGCUGUCUCAGCCAUGAGCUCGGUGAAAUUGUGGUAUCGGUGAAGACGCCGGUUACCCGCAACGGGACGGAAAGACCCCAUGCACCUUCACUACAACUUAACUUUGAUAUCGGAUACAGGAUGUGUAGGAUAGGUGGGAGACUGUGAUCCGGCUUCGCUAGGAGUCGGUUAGUCAACGUUGAAAUACCACCCUUUCUGUAUUUGGUGUCUAACUCCAUAAUGUGGAGGACAUUGUUUGGCGGGUAGUUUGACUGGGGUGGUCGCCUCCAAAAAGGUAACGGAGGCUUUCAAAGGUAAGCUCAGUACGCUUGGUAACCGUACGGGGAGUGCAAUAGCAUAAGCUUGCUUGACAGUGAGACAGACAAGUCGAGCUGGGUCGAAAGACGGAUAUAGUGAUCCGGUGGUUCUGCAUGGAAGGGCCAUCGCUCAAAGGAUAAAAGGUACGCUGGGGAUAACAGGCUGAUCUCCCCCAAGAGCUCAUAUCGACGGGGAGGUUUGGCACCUCGAUGUCGGCUCGUCACAUCCUGGGGCUGGAGAAGGUCCCAAGGGUUGAGCUGUUCGCUCAUUAAAGUGGCACGCGAGCUGGGUUCAGAACGUCGCGAGACAGUUCGGUCCCUAUCUGUUGUGGGCGUUGGAAGUUUGAGUGGGGCUGACCUUAGUACGAGAGGACCGGGUUGGACUAACCUCUGGUGAAUCUGUUAUGGCGCCAGCUGUAUUGCAGAGUAGCUACGUUGGGAAUAGAUAAGCGCUGAAAGCAUCUAAGUGCGAAACUAGCCACAAGAUGAGACUUCCAUUGAGGGUCGUAGCAGACUACUACGUUGAUAGGUUACAGGUAUAAAGGUGGUGACAUCAUAGCCAAGUAAUACUAAUUGCCCGA
rnacentral:rRNA from 1 species